rnacentral:tRNA from 1 species
GCAGAUGUAGCUCAAGCAGAGCGCGUGCCGAUUUAGGGAGCACGGGGUGUUGGUUAGAUUCCAGCCGUCUGCACCA